AGCUAACAGUGAUUACCUCUGUAGCGGCGAGUGAUGAGGUAUAAGCCCAAGAUGUUAAUCUGUGUUAAAGACAUAGAUUUGUAUAUCUAUGGAAUCAAUCAGAAUAGCGGAAGCCUGCCAUAAGUCCCUUGGAACAGGGUGCCAAAGAGGGUGAAAGCCCCGUCUUCGGGUAGGAAGAAGCAAUAUGAAAGAUUUUCUAAAUCAGAAUUGUUUUUUGGGGAAAAAAAAAAAA
rnacentral:rRNA from 1 species